GAUGAACGCUGGCGGCGUGCCUAAUACAUGCAAGUCGAGCGAACAGACGAGGAGCUUGCUCCUCUGACGUUAGCGGCGGACGGGUGAGUAACACGUGGAUAACCUACCUAUAAGACUGGGAUAACUUCGGGAAACCGGAGCUAAUACCGGAUAAUAUAUUGAACCGCAUGGCUCAAUAGUGAAAGACGGUUUUGCUGUCACUUAUAGAUGGAUCCGCGCCGCAUUAGCUAGUUGGUAAGGUAACGGCUUACCAAGGCAACGAUGCGUAGCCGACCUGAGAGGGUGAUCGGCCACACUGGAACUGAGACACGGUCCAGACUCCUACGGGAGGCAGCAGUAGGGAAUAUUCCGCAAUGGGCGAAAGCUUGACGGAGCAACGCCGCGUGAGUGAUGAAGGUCUUCGGAUCGUAAAACUCUGUUAUUAGGGAAGAACAAAUGUGUAAGUAACUAUGCACGUCUUGACGGUACCUAAUCAGAAAGCCACGGCUAACUACGUG
rnacentral:rRNA from 1 species